UGCACCGCGUCUCAUCUCAAGUUGGGUAGGUCCCCAGCACCCACCUCACAAACCCUAUCCUCCAAAGACAUGCAGCGCUGCCCUCCUCACUCCUCCUCCAUCUUUCCUUGUCAGCCGCCGCUGCCGCCAUUCUGCAUCGCUCCUCUCUGUCCGACGGCCACGCCACUGGGAGGAAUCCGCCGCACAAGAGGAUAGGGGACGCCUGUUGGCGAGCUUCCAGGCGGGAAGCUGAUGGGGAGCACGCCAUCAACGAGCCUCUGGGGAGGAGCUAUCGGCCGGUCCUGAGUCGUCCACCAAAGGCCUCCAAUUGUGUCGUCGUGAGAGGAGCAGCAUGGGACGAGAUGAGGAUAUGCCGCCGGCAUCGGACUCCCUCUUCCCUGGCUGCAUCUUCCCCGAAUAAAUGUUCUAGGGUUGGAGAAGAGGGGGUUGCGCAACAGCUUUGCUUAGAUGAGUGCUCAGGUUGAUCACCUUCACCAAGAAAAGUGUGAUGCCAGCAUGGGUUUAUAGAUUCAUAAUUUUCUUAUACACUUGCUCGGCGCACACCAGCUAGGCAGGCCAGGGGAUGAAGGCACGAUGCAGGGGGUGCAGCAGCGGUAGCGGGGAAACCCCUCCUGGCCGAGCCUUAUCCCUAGCCUCUACCUACAGAGGUGAACCCCAGGAAAGCUAAAAGUUUGUGGAGGAGCGCCGACACAGGUUAGCAUCUUCCUAUUUCUCUUCAUCCUUUCCUCAACUUCCAUGGGAACCUAUGAUUUUUUUCUUCCAGUUUUUAGAGGGUAUUUUGGACUCAAGAUUGAUCUGGUAGUGCACGUGUGGUGUGCCAUAAGCAAUAAUAUCUUAUCUGUGCCAUGACAAUAAGGGCUUGCUGCAGCCAGGUAGUUCUUGGGAGUAUGGUGCUUCGAUUUGGUUCCUUUGGUGGUAUCUUCCCUCCCUUCUCCCUCCUUCUAUUUCUUACUGAUGCUUUGAUACUUUGAUCUGUUGUAUUGGCUAAAAUUAUGUACUUGGUGAGUCCUACAUGCUUAUUGAGAUGAAUCAUUUACAAAGUUAUAGUGUUAUUUUCAGAAUCUGUAAUGACACAGUUACCUUCAAAAUUUGAGAUGAACCAUUUCCAGAGCAUAUAUUGAGAGCCUAGAAGUAGCAGGGGUCGGCGGAGCAGCGGAUGCGGUCGAUGGAGUAGCAGGAGCAAGGAGCUCGAGAUGGAAGAGGGCCUAUCGAGAUUAUAGAACUGGAUAGAGGUGCCUUAUGAUAGUAUAGCUAAAGAACAAUAGGUAUGAGUAGAUGGCACUGCCACCUAUGUGUUUCAUUUUUAUUUGUUGUGAUAUUUCACACACCCCAUAUUGGCACCCCCUCUAUAUUUUCCCAUGCUUAUAGACUUGCAGAAACACAUGCUGCUUGUCUCUAUUUAUCAUGGUAUUCACAUUAUAAAUUAAAAUGUAGUUGGAAAGAAUUAUGGGUCAUUUUGGCAUGAAGCUCGAGAAUGAUAAUACCACCUCAAGCGGGGAUAAAGCAGGACAACAAAUAGAUGAGAUGUAAUUACUGAAACUAGAAAAAAUUCUCUUCUUCUGAUUAUGCAUAUGUAAAGUCAUGAUUACGUGUGGACCAGAUGUGUGCUAUUUUCCAUUGCAUACCAGAUUGUCGGUUAAAAGAGUUUUUGUCUUCCAGCAAUGAGCUUUCAUUUUCAUUGCAGAGGUUUGUUUGGUUCAUCUCCUUUGGUCAUUUUUUUCAGUUUGUCUCUUCAGAAGUUUGGGUGCCUCUGUUUUGCUACUUUUUAGUUCUCAUCAUUAAAGUUGUAUCUUUCCUCCCCUCUUGGAUUGUUGCAUCCUUAUUGUGUCUCAUCGUUAAGGUGGCACAUAUAAGUAUUAAUUUAUUCAGUUCUGCUAAAGUACCGCUGAAAAUUCAAAUUCUAUGUACUUCACUUUUGGCUAUACACGAGAAUACAGUACACAUAUUUCAGUAGUGAUUGAAUGUGAAGACCAUUGGGCAUGUUUUUGUAAAUGUGGAUUAAUUAAGUUUUAUUGCUUUAUGGUGAGAUGAAUAUGUUGAUUAUAAUGAUAUAAUAUUAAGAGAUUUUCAAGUGUAAGCUUGUAGCAAAUUAUCUUCUAAUCCAGACUCCAUAUCAUUAUUUAUAUUGUAACACAAAUGUGUUCUAUUAUACUCCAAGCCUUGGUACAUGAAGGCAUGAUAUUACCCCUCUCCCCCUGCCCCUUCUAUGUAUUUUCUGAUUUGUUUGUGUGACUGUACUGAAUGGUGCUUGCAGGUCCAUGGACAUUGUCAGAAUUUUCACUUUAUUGCAGUGUCUUAUUUUCAGAUCUCAUGUUCCUCAAGGUGACAAGGCUUUGGAGCCAUGGUUUUCUUAGGCUUGCUCUCACUACUGCUGUAGACAUGGAACGUUGAUGACAACAUACAGAAUGAUAUUUGAAGAUAAGGAAUUAGUAUGAGAUGCUUUAGGGCGUUUAAACAAUUGGAUAAGAUUAAACACAUGUGGUGCCGAAUUGGCAAUCCUUCAUCCUUAUUUUCUUGAUAAUUGUCGGAGUCCUGGACUUGGGGGUAUCCAGUCCUGCCUACCUGCAGCCCACCACGUGGCUCCAUCGACGGCCUGGUACGGCCCAGCUUCGACAACAACACAGCAAGACGACACCAAGACCCCCGAAGGA